GAGCAUCUUGUAUACCAGACAGUCCAUCUUUCCUUGGCAUUUCCUCAGAACUGCAAAAUUCUUGGCAAAGUCAAGAGAUCUAGGGCUGAUCUUUACAUCUAU